rnacentral:ncRNA from 1 species
AGUUUUCUUCGGGGCAGGGUGAAAUUCCCUACCGGCGGUUACAGUCCGCGACUCCUUUCUUCGGAAGGGACUGAUCUGGUGAAAUUCCGGAACCGACAGUUAAAGUCUGGAUGGGAGAAGAAAAUG